CCACGCUAUUUAUUGGUGAUCAAGGAGGCAGGUGGUGAGGAUGUGGGGAUUGAAAGGAAGCAGUGCAUCAAGCGCGUGAGCUGUAGCUGUGAUGGUUUAGCAUUUCCUUUGAAGCAUAUGGAACGUGUUCUGCUACUUAAGAUAAUGGGAAACAUGUUCUUCUAGUUUAAGAUACAAUCACUUUAUGAACCUGGGAGUGCUAGAAGCAAGGAGCCAGCAAGUCUAGACACAUUCCAGAGACCAGGUUGUAUACCCUGAGCCCUGGAUUCCAUCCAAGCCACGAGGAGUUUUAUGCCCUGGGCUUAGAUUGUGGUGUGGCGGGGCAGCCUUCCACCCUUUGGCACAGAGCUUGGUAUUCCAAAGGCCACAAGGGGUUUUAGACCCUGGCCCCUGGACAUGUUCCAAGACUCUUUUACAUUAUGUCAGACAAGCAAGCCCUGCCUCAGCUUCUCCCCAACACUCAGCUUUACCCCAGCAGAAGACAAUAAGAAUCAGUUGUUGGGCUGGGUGUGGUGGCUCAUGCCUGUAAUCCCAGCACUUUGGGAGGCCAAGGGGGGGUGGAUCACUUGAGGCCAGGAGUUUGAGACCAGCCUGGCCAACAUAGUGAAACCCCAUCUCUACUAAAAAUACAAAAAAAAAAAAAAAAAAAAACCUAACCAGACCUGGUAGCACAUACCUGUAAUCCUGGCUACUCAGAAGACUGAGGCAGGGGAAUCGCUUGAACCUGGGAGGCGGGGGUUGCAAUGAGCUGAGAUUGUGUAACUGUACUCCAGCCUGGGUGACAGAGCAACACUCUCUCUUAAAAAAAAAAAAAGAAUCAAUCAUUGGCUAGAUGGAUCCUGGUCAGUCAGUCCUUCAGGGGGAUGGGGGAGAGAUCUUGGGAGAGACCCCAGAGAUUAGUGGUGGGGCUGGGCCUGUGGGGGUGGGACAGUGGUUCUAUACUAACUGAAGGUAUUUUCAUAUUUUCUCAGGUGGUGUGCCUGAAUCACAGUGCACCUGUUGAGAAUUGGCUGUGGAUUUAGGGGUGGCUUUGUCCCCUAAUCAGCAGUGGAACAGAUCCUGUUGCCAAGAUGAGACCUGACUUCACAGACUUCCAGAGAGCUAAUUAUACUUGUGAGAAAAAGGAGAUAAAAAAUAUUCAUAUUCAAUUGUGGCUGACACUCCCUGCUUAGGGUAAGACACGGGAAACCAGCUUCUCAGUUGGUUGUGACAUAAAAUAAAUACUGUUACAGGCACAGUCCUGCCUUCUGCUAAGCUGCAGAUGCCUCAAACCUUGAAGCCAACCCCUCUUUAGAACACAGUCUUUGGAAGUUCUUGAGGUUAGAACAGCAGUCUUCAACCUUUGUGGCAGCAGGGACCAGUUUUGUGGAAGACAGUUUUUCCAUGGACCAGGGGCAGGGGGGAUGGUUUUGGGAUGAUUCAGGGGCAUUACAUUUAUCAUACACUUUAUUUCCAUUAUUAUUACAUUGUAAUAUCUACUGAUAAUUCUACAAGCCCUGAGCUUGUUUUCCUGCAACUAGAUGGUCCCGCCUAGUUGAUGGGGGUGAUGGGGUGAUGGGGGACAGUGAUGGAUCAUCAGGCAUUAGAUCCUCAUAAGGAGCAUGCAAUCUAGAUCCCUGUCUGUCGCAGUUCACAAUAGGGCUUGUGUUCUAGUGAGAAUCUAAUGUUACUGCUGAUUGAAUGGGAGGUGGAGCUCAGGCAGCAAUGCGAGUGAUAGGGGGGCAUCUGUAAAUACAAAUGCACCUUUGCUUGGUUGCCAGCUGCUCACCUCCUGUUUUGUGGCCCAGUUCCUAACAGGCCACAGACUGGUACUGGGCCACAGCCUGGUGGCUGGGGACCCCUGGUUUAGAAGGUAAGGUUUUUGGGGCCAGGUGCGGUGGCUCAUGCCUGUAAUUUCAGCACUUUGGGAGGCCAGAGCAGGUGGAUCACUUAGGUCAGGAGUUUGAGACCAGCCUGGCCAACAUGGUGAAACCUCGUCUCUAGUAAAAUUACAAAAAUUAGCCAGGCAUGAUGGUGGGCACCUGUAAUCCCAGCUACGCAGGAGGCUGGGGCAGGAGAAUCACUUGAACCUGGGAGGUGAAGGUUGCAGUGAGUCAAGAUUGCACCACUGUACUCCAGCCUGGGUGACAGAGCGAGACUCUGUCUCAAAAAUAAAAUAAAAUGUUUGUUGUCUGGGCACAGUGGCUCAUGCCUGUACUCCAAGCUACUUGGGAGGCUGAAGCAGGAGGUUCACUUGAGGCCAGGAGUUCCAGGCUCCUGGGAGAUGGCACACUUCCAGGCUCUAGUGGGCCAUGAUGGCAUCACUGUACUCCAGCCUAGGUGAAACAGCAAGACCCUAUUAAAAAAAAAAAAAAAAAGUUUGUUGGGUGAAUGAAUGGAUAAGUGGAAGGAAAGGAGCGUAGGCUUUGAUUAGAUUCAUGGAGUUCAAAUCCUAACUGUGUCAUUCAGGAGCUAUGAGACCUUGGGCGAGUUACAUCAUCUGAGUUUCUCUUCUCUCAUAUUUUAGUGGGGGUAACAGUAUCUACCUUUCUACCUUGUUGUGAGGUUUUGUUGCAAUAACAAGGAUAAUAAUAAGGAUUAUAGUCCGGGCACAGUGGCUCACACCUGUAAUCCUAGCACUUUGGGAUGCCCAAGUCACACUAAUG